AACGUAACACAUCCAUUAUAACAGUAGGACAAGGUAGCACAUCCAUUAUAACAGUAGGACAAGGUAACACAUCCAUUAUAACAGUAGGACAAGGUAACACAUCCAUUAUAACAGUAGGACUGGGACAAGGUAACACAUCCAUUAUAACAGUAGGACAAGGUAACACAUCCAUUAUAACAGUAGGACAAGGUAACACAUCCAUUAUAACAGUAGGACAAGGUAACACAUCCAUUAUAACAGUAGGACAAGGUAACACAUCCAUUAUAACAGUAGGACUGGGACAAGGUAACACAUCCAUUAUAACAGUAGGACUGGGACAAGGUAACAC